GUGCUUGCUUCAGCAGCAGCACAUACACUAAAAUUGAAACAACACAGAGAAGUGGGGUUUAUUUAUUUUUAUUUAUUUAUUUAUUUAUUUAUUUAUUUAUUUAUUUAUUUAUUGGUCUGGGAUUGAACUCAGGGGCACUUAACCACUGAGUCACAUCCCCAGCCCUGUUUUGUAUUUUUAUUUAGAGACAGAGUCUCACUGAGUUCAUUAGCAUGGUACCUGCACAAGGAUGACAUGCAAAUUCUUGAAGCAGUCCAUAUUUUU
rnacentral:snRNA from 1 species